rnacentral:lncRNA from 1 species
AUUUGAUUGGUUGAGGGCAUCAGGGGCAGGGCUUGCGGUUCUAGAGGUCCGGCUGUGUGGGGAGAUCCAGGAGGAACCUCAUCAGCUCCGAGGAACGGUCCCCGGCUAGAGAUGAGCAGAGGCCGACGACCGGGCCGGCCAGGCAAGGCGGGGAAGCCAGCUGGGCCCUGAAUACAGGCCGCAGGGAAAGAAUGGGAAGCUCAGACGGAAACCCCCUGCUCCCUUCGCUCUCCAACCUCUCUUGGCGGCGCAGGUCAAGGGUAAACCAUUCAGGUUGAGUUCUAUAGUGGUGGAGCAGCUGGAAUGUAGGAUGUGAGCAUAGGCCAGGCCAGGCCUCUCAGCCGCCUCACCCUCUACCCAGACACCAAGAUGGUUCUCUGGCUUUCUUCCCCUAGUCUCCCACCCAUCACCCAUCCAAUUAUGAGUACACUUGUAUCUGAUACUAGAGGCCCUUCCACAAACCAACCCCAACUGCUUCCUCAGUCUUAUUUGCUCUUAUAAAAUAUUUUCCAAAGUGCCACCUUCCAUUGUUAACAUACUUUUGCCAGACCCGUCCCAGAAUGGUGGCUUCUAGGCGGAUGGGCAGAAGUGGACCUAGCCUGUAGAGAUGAUGUGCAGGUUACUAUCCAUGGGGCCCUUGGAACCACAUCCCUCUGCACUCUGCCGUAAGAGGGGAAACAUUUCUCCUGGAUAUUGUGAUCUGAGCUAUCCAGAAGCCAGAGUGAAGAUUAUAAAUGACUGCCUGAAUCAUUCCACAACUCUCCGGCUGGCUCAAGUCCUGACACCUGGUCUCCAAUGGGUCAGCCACACAGUCUGAGGAACUGAAAUCAAAGUAGGCAAUACUCACUGUGCAAAUGGGACCUCUGUGCUAAGCUACUGUGACAAGUACGGACGCUUCAAGUGUCAUUUUAACAAGCCUCCUUUUCACCUGUUUCCCCUUCACUAAAAAAGCUCCCUGACAAGCCAGGUGCAGUGAUGCAUGCCCUAGUCCCAGCUGCUUGGGAGGCUGAGACAGGAGAAUCGUUGAGUUCAAAGUCAGACUCACUCAGUGAGACCCUGUCUCUAAAUAAAAUACAAACUAGGCCUAGGGAUGUGGCUCAGUGGUUGAGUACCCCUGAGUUCAAUCCCCACUACCAAAAAAACCUCCCUGACAGCAACUGCUUUACAAGUGACAGCCCCCCUCAGCCUCUCACACUAAGUCAAACAGAGGAAUCCCAUUUCUGGCUGACUAGAACUAUGAGGAUAAGCUGAAGGAAGCAAUCUGCUUGCUUUCAGCAAGACUCCACCAAAGCUUGCUUGGCUCCACCAGUCAGCAGCUCAUCUGUGUCCAGCUGACUGUAUGCCCCAGACCACCCCCAUGUUCAAUUGAAUCCAAUGUCCCUGGUGGUCAAGACCAUUGACUGUUCUACUUUUUUUAGACAGUCCUGCCUCAUAAUAUUACUAGACAGUAAACAGAGACACAUGGAAAUAAGGAUAUUUCUUACAGGAUAAAACACCAAACUGGGAGUCAUGGUCCAUGCCUAUAAUCCAAACUACUCCAGAGACAGAAACAGGAGGAUCACAAGUUCAAGGCCAGCCUAGGCAAUCCAGUAAGACCAGCUUGGCACAGGUGUCUUAAAAAAUGGCUGCGGAUGUAUCUUAGUGGCAGAGUGCUUGCCUAGCAUGCACAAGACCCUACUGCAGAAUGAAUUUUAAAAAUACGUGAAAUGGGCUGGGGUUGUGGCUCAGCGGUAGAGCACUUGCCUAGCACAUAUAAGGCCCUGGGUUCAAUCCUCAGCACCACAUAAAAAUAAUUAAAGGUAUUGUGUCCAACUAAAAAAUAUUAAAAAAAAAAAAACAUGAGACAUCCGAUGCAAAUAUGACACCAAUUUCCAGCUCUCUGGUUGUAUGAUUCUGGGCAAGUGACUGGACUUUUCUCUUAUCCUGUUUCCUCAUUUAUAAAACUCAGAUAAUAAAAUCCAUUCAACUGCAGAGAGUAGAGGUGAUAUAUAUGGGGGCUUGGCCCCAUGCCUAGAAGUUAACAACUGGCAGCUAUUGUUACUAUUCCCAGUCAUCCUGUGCAAGCCAUUACAAUCCUUAGGAGCUGGAGCCAACCAGGGCUGCAGGUAUCUUGGUGGCUUUAUAAACAAGUAGAGUCUCUGUGGCCUCCCUGAUGCAGACAUUUUCAUAGUCAGCUGGUAUGAGUUGAAUGUUACUUUAGCAGCUGAGCCACAAGUAUAGCAUAAUAGGCAGAAUCUACUCCUUCGAAGAAAAAGACAGUGGGAAAUGGAAGCCACAGAGGUUAAAACAGAAGACUAGGACUAAAGUAGAGUCAGGCAGGGACAGGUAGGUAGGACAAAUUACAAAGAACUUACAAAGGUCAACUAGGUAAGAAGCAACAGAGAAGAGGUGACAGUAGAUGCAUAAUGGACCAGGAAGCAAAGUGGUACCUGGUAAGUGGCCCCAAUGGAAACGGAAGAAAAGGGCCAAUCACAAAACAGCCACAGUGCCUGAAAGGAGAUGGGGACAGCAGGAAACACUGAGCAGAAGUUUUCAGACUGGCUAUGUCCAACUCCCACUUCCCAAAGAGAGGAGCCAAAGAAGAGUCCAGAGAUUAGUGUGCAGUGAACUUUCUUGGGAUAUGAUGGCAGCAGCAGACAUCCCCACCAGGGGUCCAUUUACAGGAGUGGCUGGCUUCAGACUUGGAAACCUGUCUGCAUUCAGAAGCCUCUGUUCAUAGAUUUAUUCCAACGUUCUAAAAUGGGCUCUGGCCAAAAGGACCUCAAACGUACUCAAGGCUGAAGAUAAGGGUGUCCAAAAUAAGAGCAGGUGAGUCAGGGAUGA